AGGCACGAUUGCAGAGUUUUUGUAAUGAAAUUCAUGGAAUUGUGGUCAAUGGGGGGGUUCUCCAAAUCAAUCGAUGUGGGAAAGUUGAAACAUUACAGGUUGAAGAUUAUGGGGAGUAUGUUGUUCUCAGCACAAAAUGCACACCGAGAUCGUGUCCGGAGAUAUUAAAGGGGAUUGUAAUUUGUGAUAAGACUGUAUAAAGUUAGCACAUUUGUAUGUAAUUUAUGGUGGACAAAUGUAGUUCUUUAAAUUUUGUUUUUGGAUUGUAAUUCUCUUUAGGGGGGCAAACCAAGACACUAAUGUUUGUUCACAUUAGCCCUGAACCGGAUGUUGAUGGAGAAACAAUUAGCACAGUUAAAUUUGCAGAGCGAUUUGCCACAGUAGAACUUGGUGCUGCUCGUGUAAACAAGGAUAGUGCAGAUGUGAAAGAGUUGAAAGAACAGAUUAGUACUCUGAAGGCAGCUCUGGCAGGAAAGAGGAAAACCAGAGGACAUGCCAUAUGCGUAUUGGUUUGUGGUAGACUCACUUUGUGGUUCAAAAAAUGGGAUCAGUUGGGAGGUCAAUUGAUGUUGCAAGUUUUAAGAAUUAUGUAGAAUUAUGCUAGGCAAUUGAAUGCAUGUUUGGAGUUGUAGGUGUGCUCAACGACGAGAAAGGCUCAGGUUGGAAAAUGGUGUAUGUGGAUUAUGAGAAUGAUGUACUUCUUGUUGGGGAUGAUCCCUGGAAAUGGUAGAAUGUUUCAAUUUUGUGAAGCUGAAGUUCAUUUGUGGAAGAUAUCUUAUUUUUAAAGAGGCUUGGUGAUAUUCAACUUUAAA